GGGGAAGCGACUCUGAGUCCCGGGCUCGGAGCGCAGGCUCAGCUCCGCGCUGCGAGCGCUACGGGCGCAGGGGCGGGGAGCCGGCCCGGAGCGCAGUUUCCAGUGGGGCCGGGAUUUCACCCGGGCACUCUCUGUUUGAACCGAACCCGACAAAUGGGCGCAUGACGAUGGAGAGCAGAGAAAUGGACUGCUAUCUCCGUCGCCUCAAACAGGAGCUGGGUCUCACUCUGUUGCUCAGGCUGGAGUGCAGUGGCACAAUCACAACUCACUGCAGUCUCCACCUCCCUUGCUCAAGUCAUCCUUCCACCUCAGCCUCCUGAGUAGCUGGGACUACAGACAUGCACCACCACAACUGGGUCUGCUGGAGUUUGCUGGAGGUCCACUCCAGACCCUGUUUACCUGGGUGUCACCAGCAGAGGCUGUAGAACAGCAAAGAUUGCUACCUGCUCCUUCCUCUGGAAGCUUCAUCCCAGAGGAGCACCUGCCAAAUGCCAGCUCAAC
rnacentral:sRNA from 1 species